ACACUCAAUUUAAAAAGGUUUAGUUAUCUUAUUGUGGGCAAAUAAUAAAAAUAUAAUAUUUUCAAUUAACAAUGAAAUGGCGAAAUUUAGCACGGACGAAUCUUGAAUGAUGACCUGAAACGAAUAGAAGAGCUCUGUGAGCUGAACUGGGAAUAGAACCAUCCCACACAUGAAGAUUGCUAUAAUUAAAGCCUGCAUCUAUGAUAGCAUAUGCAACGAAGUUGACCUCCCUUCAAAUGUGGCUUCAAGAGAUGUUCUCAAACCAGCAAGCUAAAUACUUGAUGUCUUGAAUGAUGAAUUGAAGUCUCCAAAGAAUCGAAGUUGACCUAGCCGUCCAAAGUGCAUCUCACAAAGCAACACAUUCUGCAACAUUAAUAGUGACAGCCCCCAAGCUCCUGGCACCAGAAAGAAUAGGCCUGCCAAAUUCAUCUCUAACAACAAAGCCACUAGCAUCAUGAUUAUUAACCACAGAUUCAUCGAAGUUAAUUUUAAGGCUCCCACAAGAAGGGGGGAUCAUUUGAUAGACAAGUUCUCUUUUCAAACUUUUUUGCUAGCUUUAUUUGCAUUCAAAUACUCUUCACCUAGCUUGGUUGAAUUAAUUUAUACUAGUUGGUUAUAGUUGACCGUUUUGUUAGAUUUCAUAAAAUCAUUAAAUGUGUUAUAACAAUUUUUAUUUGAAGGAUAAAAUGAGUAAAGAGAGGUUGAUUCUAGUCCAAACAUUGGUUAGGAUUUUUAUUUUAUUUUGCGUCAAAUCUAAUUCAUGCAAGACAAUCUCUAGUUUGAUAACUAUUUUUCAUUUUUUUGUUUUGACAUCAGAAAAACGUUGGGAAAAUAAAAUCUCAUUUUUCUAUGUAUUUUCUCUUACUGCUUCCUCCUACUCUUAAACUCAAAUUUUGGUUCUAAAUUUACCUCAAUUUGCUUUAAUUUUUGGGUCAAAUAUGAGUUUUAACCCAAAAUUCAUUUUUCUAUGUGUAUUUUCAGGUUUAUAUUUAUAAAUUUUUUGUUCCAACAACUAAGAUCUAAUGACCAAAUCUAACAGUAAAAAAAAAAAUCUAAAUGUUCGAAUUUAAAUUCAACGGCUAAAAUAAUUAAAAUAAUUCUUUCAAAGUGUUCCACGAGUUUCAUGGUAUUGGUCUAGUGAUUUUUCAAUAUUUAUCGGAGUCUAAAUAUUUUUAGGUUACAAUGUUCAUAAAAUUAAAUUAUGAUAAUCUACAUAAUAAUUUUUUUUAAAACAUUACUUUAAGAAAUAGCUAUCCAAAAUUCAUUAUUUCAUAAUAUCGAGCUAAAAUUUAACCCAUAAGGGUUUGAGCAGAAAAUUUAUUUCUAAGUUAAAACCUAAAUUUUUUGAAUUAAAAAUUUUAGAUUUUAACCCAAGGGUUGGAGAUGUUCCUAGUUUCAAUAAAAAAUGAAAACGAAAAAGUAAAAACUAGAAGCUUACCAAUUAAUACAUUGGGAUGGGAUGGGAAGGACAAAAUAUGAAGAGUAAUGCCAGGAAGGUAAAAUUUGUAAACUAAAUGAUGUGUCAUCAAUAGGAAUAAAUAUGUUUAUUAACGCUCAAGUAACAAACCAAUCAUCAAUUUUUAUGUUUUUUAGUUUUCAAAAUUUUAUCUACAAGUUUAGUUUUCCUAACAUUAGCCAAAUAUGAAUGUCCCUCCUUUUGAAAAGACCAACAUCAU
rnacentral:lncRNA from 1 species